AUGGUGGCCCGGGUGUGGUCGCUGGUGAGGUUCCUCAUCAAGGGCAGUGUGGCUGGGGGCGCCGUCUACCUGGUGUAUGAUCAGGAGCUGCUGGGGCCCAGCGACAAGAACGAGGCAGCCCUGCGGAAGGCCGGGGAGGUGGUCCCCCCCGGCCAUGUACCAGUUCAGCCAGUAUGUGUGUGACCAGACAGACCUGCAAAUACCCAAGCUCCCAGCCCCUCCAAAGAUUUACUUUCCGAUCCGUGACUCCUGGAAUUCAGGUAUCAUCACAGUGAUUUCGGCUCUGAUCAGUGGGCCCUCCAAGGCCUGCGAGUACUCCAAGGAGGGCUGGGAAUAUGUGAAGGGGUGUACCAAGUAGUGAGUCAGCGGAGGCUGCCUGCCCCGGGUCAGAACAGGCAGGGACGCCACUGACCUGAAGAUUCCAGACUGGGACCCC